rnacentral:rRNA from 1 species
GACGAACGCUGGCGGUGUGCUUCACACAUGCAAGUCGAACGAGGUAGCAAUACCUAGUGGCGGACGGGUGAGUAACGCGUGGGAAUCUGCCUUUAGAUGGGGGGAUAACGGGUCGAAAGACUCGCUAAUACCGCAUAUGACGAAAGUUGAAAGGAGUAAUCCGUCUAAAGAUGAGCCCGCGUCGAUUAGCUAGUUGGUAGAGUAAAAGUCUACCAAGGCGACGAUCGGUAGCUGGUCUGAGAGGAUGAUCAGCCACAAUGGGAACUAGAGACACGGCCCAUACUCCUACGGGAGGCAGCAUGGGGAAUUUUACGCAAUGGGCGAAAGCCUGACGUAGCGACACCGCG